GAUGAACGCUGGCGGCGUGCCUAAUACAUGCAAGUCGAGCGAACGGACGAGAAGCUUGCUUCUCUGAUGUUAGCGGCGGACGGGUGAGUAACACGUGGAUAACCUACCUAUAAGACUGGGAUAACUUCGGGAAACCGGAGCUAAUACCGGAUAAUAUUUUGGACCGCAUGGUUCAAAAGUGAAAGACGGCCUUGCUGUCACUUAUAGAUGGAUCCGCGCUGCAUUAGCUAGUUGGUAAGGUAACGGCUUACCAAGGCAACGAUGCAUAGCCGACCUGAGAGGGUGAUCGGCCACACUGGAACUGAGACACGGUCCAGACUCCUACGGGAGGCAGCAGUAGGGAAUCUUCCGCAAUGGGCGAAAGCCUGACGGAGCAACGCCGCGUGAGUGAUGAAGGUCUUCGGAUCGUAAAACUCUGUUAUUAGGGAAGAACAUAUGUGUAAGUAACUGUGCACAUCUUGACGGUACCUAAUCAGAAAGCCACGGCUAACUACGUG
rnacentral:rRNA from 1 species